UUAAGGGACGGUGCAAUAUUUAUCAAGCAGGGGGGACCGGUGCAAAUCGCAAAACCUGUUUGGAAAAAAGUAUUGUCCCAUGCUGAUGUGAUAGGAAAAAAAGUUAUGUCCCAUGACCUCUAUUCAUUAAAAAAGUAUGUGUCCCAUGAAUAUCAUGAAUAUAUUGAGUGAAUAAAAACACAAUCUGUACCUUAAAUAACGUAAAGCAACAAUAUUUA
rnacentral:lncRNA from 1 species